rnacentral:rRNA from 1 species
AUACAGAGGGUGCGAGCGUUAAUCGGAAUUACUGGGCGUAAAGCGCGCGUAGGCGGCUUGGUCAGUCGGAUGUGAAAGCCCCGGGCUCAACCUGGGAAUGGCAUUCGAUACUGCCAGGCUAGAGUAUGGGAGAGGGAAGUGGAAUUUCCGGUGUAGCGGUGAAAUGCGUAGAUAUCGAAAGGAACACCAGUGGCGAAGGCGACUUCCUGGCCCAAUACUGACGCUGAGGUGCGAAAGCGUGGGGAGCGAACAGGACUAGAUACCCUAGUAGUCC